AGUGAACGCUGGCGGUAGGCCUAACACAUGCAAGUCGAACGGCAGCGCAGUAAUAGCUUGCUCGGACGGUGGGGGAGGGGCGGACGGGGGAGGAGAACAUCGGAAGCUACUGGGGCGAGGGGGGUGACGGAGGGAAACUUACCCCAAUAGCCCAGACGACCUACGGGGGAAAGCAGAGGAUCUUCCGACCUUGGAGCGUUCGAUGUCGGAUUAGCUAGUUGGUGGGGUAAAGGGCUACCAAGGCGACGAUCCGUAGCUGGUCUGAGAGGACGAGCAGCCACACUGGAACUGAGACACGGCCCAGACUCCUACGGGAGGCAGCAGUGGGGAAUAUUGGACAAUGGGCGCAAGCCUGAUCCAGCCAUGCCGCGUGCGUGAAGAAGGCCUUCGGGUUGUAAAGCCCUUUUGUUGGGAAAGAAAAGCUGCAGGCUAAUACCCCGCUGUUCUGACGGUACCGAAAGAAUAAGCACCGGCUAACUUCGUG
rnacentral:rRNA from 1 species